rnacentral:lncRNA from 1 species
AUGGAGGUCGACAUAUAUAGGAGUCUCCCUAACAACAAGUAGUAAUGCUAUUCCUUUACCCUGCUUGGUCAUAGCACGGUAGUGGGAGCUGCCAGUUUCACAUGUUUUAACUCUGUCAGAGCACUUUGAAAAAGUGGUCUGUGGUAUCUGGCUCUCGAGAUUCGGAGAACGAUGCCUCUUCGAUUUUUGAGAAAGCAAUCAUGCUGGAGGUAUGACUCUCGAGAUUCGGAAAGCAGUGUCUCUUCGAUUUUUGAGGAAGUAAUCAUGUUGGGAGUCUGGCUCUCGAGAUUCGGAGGGCGGUGCCUCUUCGAUUUUGGAGCAAGCAAUCUUGUUGGGAGUGUUGUCUCGAAUGUGAGUAAAGGUUGGGCAUGUUUGCUAGUCUACCUUGCCACGAAGCACAAAGGUUGACACACAAGGACUUUCCAAUUAUCCAGCAAUGGUACUGUUCCUUUACCCUCUCUUCGAUUUUGAGAAAGUAGUCAUGUUGGGAGUCUGGCUCUCGAGAUUCGGAGGACGGUGCCUCUUCGAUUUUGGAGCAAGCAAUCUUAUUGGGAGUGUUUUCUCGAAUGUGAGUAAAGGUUG